UCGGGUUAUUUUUUCUCGGAUUCGGUCGGAUUUUUUUCUUCGGAUCGGAUUGGACUAGGGGCGGAUUUGUACAGGAUUGCCAUCCCUAAUGUUGAGUUAAAAUAUGUCUAUAUUUCCUCACGUAUAGAAACACUUUUAGAAGAAUAAUAAUGUACCCUUUCUGUAAAUUGAUAAUUUGCAAGGGCAUAAAGGGGAUGUGAUAUAGUGGGAUUGAAGAGGGUGCACUGAGAGAAAACCGAUUGUUUUAUACGUGUUAACCUGAAUAAAUACAACUUCCUUUCAUACAUCAAUCAGAAGCGACUAAAGUUGGAUCGUCAGCUAAUAGGGCGCAUGUAACUACAAGCCAAUGCUAGUUUAUCGUCUUUUAAUUGUUUCCUUUAAUUUUGUGUUAAGCUCCUGUCAUUUUUUAUUUUUUUUUUAUUUUUUUUUGCGCAGAUUAAUUUCCUUAAUAUCUUUAUUUAUUAUUUAGUAAGUAUUUCGAAUGAUAUAUUGAGACGAAUAUAACAAGAAAUUUUUCCGUUUUCACUCUAAACUCUAAAAAAAAUGACCAAAGCAUUAUGUGUUUAUAGUGGAAAAAAAGUUGCCAUCACUAGUUAACCAAAAGCAUUAUGUGUUUAUAGUGGAAAAAAAGAAUGGAGGAAGGAAUUACAAGUUAACAGAUUAUCAAUUUAUCAUUAGGUUCAUGGCAUCACUAGUUGCCUCAGUAGAAUUGAAUCAUGUAAAAUCAUGAAUGGCCCAAAACUAAAAGCGGUAAGAUCCAAGCCCAAUUCAAUAGCCCCUAAAGACAAGCCCAAUUCUUCAUCAUCUUCUUCUUCCUCUCCCAACACCAGAAUCCUGCAAUUCAGCUUCUAUCACUCUGAUCAAACCAUCUUCAAAUACAUUUCUCAAAUUUUAGAGAGAGAAAUUGAGGAGAGAGAAAGUGAGAAGAGAGAAAUGUUGACACCGAUAAUAAAUUCAUGGGCGCCAUCUCCAAUGAUGUAUCCGUUCUUGGCGCCAUCUGGGCAAUUUACAAUGCUGAGAUUAGUUUGAUUGGUGCCGCCAUUAAAGCUCCUUGAUUACCUCCAUUAAACCUUAUUAGAGCACAUACCCUGUUCAUAUGUGGUUAUUGCAAUUUGGCACGUUGGAUUUCCAUGCUCGUAUCUGUUCUUUAUAUAUUAUUGUAAAAGUGUAUGGAUAGUGCUAAAGUUGUGUUGCAAAUAUUAUAGUGGAUGACGUACAUAGUUCUGGGGCUGUAAGUGAUGGCAAUGAGUUGUUAUACUUAUUUAUGUAAUAAAUUCUGUAGUUUAAUUGCAAAAAUUGAGUUUGUAAAA